UGAGAAGACCGUACAAGUUGCCAUCCUUCCUUGUUAAUUGAACAAGAUUUGCAAAAAAAUAAAUUGUUUGGGGAAAUGGCUGUUAAUGUAGCUACUAACGCUAUGUAUUUUGAAAGAUGAGGUGUUGAGGAUUAUGAAUAAGCAAUGAGGCAUGGGGGGGGGGUGUUCUAGCCAAUAUACCAUGGCUAAGAGCUGUUCUUAGGCAUGGCGUAUUGCAGUGUUCCUGGAUGUAGCACUUGUGUUGGCGAUAUACAACCAACCCCUAAGGUUGCUUGCUAUUAUGAAGCACGUACGCAAUUAUUACAGUAAAAAGUUGUGAUGUCAUGAUUGUGGCACGUGUUCUCAUACCGCAGUUUUCAGCCAAUCGGGCUUCAAACCACCCGGUUUAUAAAAAUGUUUGAUGUCAUGCAAUCCAGCUACACUAGUUUCAGUUAAAACACUUCAGAGUUCCAUAUCAGAAAAGCCAUGUCAUAUUCUGUGUCAGUUUUUUUUUUAUGUGUAACAUUUUUCUAUGAAUGUAAUAGUUAACACAGCCUGACUCUUUGCACAGCUUACUUAAAAGCAACCUAUGAUUCCUGAAUCCAAGGUACAGUAAUUCUGUAGUUGCUUGUACGGAAUAUUAAAUAAGUUGUCAUGUCUGUGGUGAACUGUUUUGAUCGCAACCUUUUUUUUUUUUAAAGGGAUCCUUGAUUUUACUUUUGCUUUUGUAAUCAUGUUCCUUGUUUGGAUUAAAGGUUUUGAGUGUGUGACUUUCUGGUAUGUGGCUUUGCCGUUUGGUUUUCUGUAGUAUUUACAUUUGUUUAACAAAAGCAAUGGAAAAGCGAAUUCAGGGUUUCCUAUUUCUUGCCAGUGAUGAAGUAAGCUAAGGAUCAUAUUACUGGAUCUAAUGGUCUUCUAUUCAAAGGGCAUUGCACAUGUAACAUUUUACAUUAAUUCUCAUUUUACUGCAUCAUAUCACAAGGCCCACAUGGACAGAAUUGGAUUUAGUUGAACAUAUUUUUCUUGCCUUUUUGUUUGCCCCUUCCUGUUACUAAAUUGUUGUAUACUGUAGCCUCACUGAAUAAAAGCUUAGGAUUAUGUGCUGUUUUCAGAGGGUUCAAACUUUUUUUCUUUUUUCCCCACAGUCAAUGUAAUGUUUUUUAUUUUUAUCAAUGGGUGCCUUUUGUUUGUAAACCAAAAAGGAAUAAACUCUUAAAU
ensembl:lncRNA